AUUGCCUCAGUAACGGCGAGUGAAGCGGCAACAGCUCAAAUUUGAAAUCUGGCCCUUUCAGGGUCCGAGUUGUAAUUUGUAGAGGGUGCUUUGGCGUCGGCCGUGGUCUAAGUUCCUUGGAACAGGACGUCACAGAGGGUGAGAAUCCCGUACGUGGCCGCCGGUCUUCGCCGUGUAAAGCCCCUUCGACGAGUCGAGUUGUUUGGGAAUGCAGCUCUAAAUGGGAGAUACAUUUCUUCUAAAGCUAAAUAUUGGCCAGAGACCGAUAGCGCACAAGUAGAGUGAUCGAAAGAUGAAAAGCACUUUGGAAAGAGAGUCAAAAAGCACGUGAAAUUGUUGAAAGGGAAGCGCUUGCAGCCAGACGUGCCCGCAGUUGCUCACCUGGGCUCUCGCCCGGGGCAUUCUUCUGCGGGCAGGCCAGCAUCAGUUCGGGCGGUUGGAUAAAGGCCUCUAUCACGUACCACCCUUCGGGGUGUCCUUAUAGGGGAGGCGCAACACGGCCAGCCUGAACUGAGGACCGCGCAUUUGCUAGGAUGCUGGCGUAAUGGCUGUAAGCGGCCCGUCUUGAAACACGGACCAAGGAGUCUAACAUCUAUGCGAGUGUUUGGGUGUCAAGCCCGGGCGCGCAAUGAAAGUGAACGGAGGUGGGAACCCCUCGGGGUGCACCAUCGACCGAUCCUGAAGUCUUCGGAUGGAUUUGAGUAAGAGCAUAGCUGUUGGGACCCGAAAGAUGGUGAACUAUGCCUGAAUAGGGUGAAGCCAGGGGAAACGCUGGUGGAGGCUCGCAGCGGUUCUGACGUGCAAAGUGGUCU
rnacentral:rRNA from 1 species